GAUGAACGCUGGCGGCGUGCCUAAUACAUGCAAGUCGAGCGAAUGGAUUAAGAGCUUGCUCUUAUGAAGUUAGCGGCGGACGGGUGAGUAACACGUGGGUAACCUGCCCAUAAGACUGGGAUAACUCCGGGAAACCGGGGCUAAUACCGGAUAACAUUUUGAACCGCAUGGUUCGAAAUUGAAAGGCGGCUUCGGCUGUCACUUAUGGAUGGACCCGCGUCGCAUUAGCUAGUUGGUGAGGUAACGGCUCACCAAGGCAACGAUGCGUAGCCGACAUGGGAGGGUGAUCGGCCACACUGGGACUGAGACACGGGCCAGACUCCUGCGGGAGGCAGCAGUAGGGAAUCUUCCGCAAUGGACGAAAGUAUGACGGAGCAACGCCGCGUGAGUGAGGAAGGCUUUCGGGUCGUAAAACUCUGUUGUUAGGGAAGAACAAGUGCUAGUUGAAUAAGCUGGCACCUUGACGGUACCUAACCAGAAAGCCACGGCUAACUACGUGCCAGCCGCCGCGGUAA
rnacentral:rRNA from 1 species